AUUGAACGCUGGCGGCAGGCCUAACACAUGCAAGUCGAACGAGCGGCGGACGGGUGAGUAAUGUAUGGGAAACUGCCUGAUGGAGGGGGAUAACUACUGGAAACGGUAGCUAAUACCGCAUACCAUCAGAUGUGCCCAGAUGGGAUUUGCUUGUAGGUGGGGUAACGGCUCACCAAGGCGACGAUCCCUUGCUGGUCUGAGAGGAUGACCAGCCACCCUGGAACUUAGACACUGUCCAGGCUCCUACGGGAGGCAGCAGGGGGGAAUAUUGCGCAAUGGGCGCAAGCCUGAUGCAGCCAUGCCGCGUGUAUGAAGAAGGCCUUCGGGUUGUAAAGUUCUUUCAGCUGGGAGGCGUUUCCCGCUGGAGAAGCACCGGCUAACUCCGUGCCAGCAGCCGCGGUAAUAC
rnacentral:rRNA from 1 species